CCCUUAGAUGUUCUGGGCCGCACGCGCGCUACACUGGUGCAUUCAACGAGCCUAUCCUUGACCGACAGGUCCGGGUAAUCUUUGAAUCUGCAUCGUGACGGGGAUAGAUUAUUGCAAUUAUUAAUCUUCAACGAGGAAUGCCUAGUAGGCGCAAGUCAUCAGCUUGCGUCGAUUACGUCCCUGCCCUUUGUACACACCGCCCGUCGCUCCUACCGAUUGAAUGCUCAGGUGAGCCAUUCGGACUUUCAUCAUGCUGGUUUCCAGUUUUGAUGAAGGAAAGUCUUGCGAACCUUAUCAUUUAGAGGAAGGAGAAGUCGUAACA
rnacentral:rRNA from 1 species